rnacentral:rRNA from 1 species
AUGCAAGUCGAACGAGGCGAAGCAAAACACUGUGUGUUUUGCAGUGGACAGUUGACAAUUGACAGUGGACAGUUACUGGAAUCCGCUUCGCGGAUUGAUUUUAAAAUUCACUCGCUAAAUGGCUUUUGCGCUCUUUGCAAAAGACAAUGCGAUACCACAACUAUCAACUAUCAACUAUCAACUAUCAACUGUGAAGCGAAACACAGAGUGUUUUGCUUCACCGAGUGGCGGACGGGUGAGUAACACGUGAGCAACCUGCCGAGUAGAGGGGGAUAACGUUCGGAAACGAAUGCUAAUACCGCAUAACAUACCGGGACCGCAUGGUUCUGGUAUCAAAGGAGUAAUCCGCUAUUCGAUGGGCUCGCGUCCGAUUAGAUAGUUGGUGAGGUAAUGGCUCACCAAGUCAGCGAUCGGUAGCCGGACUGAGAGGUUGAUCGGCCACAUUGGGACUGAGACACGGCCCAGACUCCUACGGGAGGCAGCAGUGGGGGAUAUUGCACAAUGGGGGAAACCCUGAUGCAGCGACGCCGCGUGAGUGAAGACGGCCUUCGGGUUGUAAAGCUCUGUUAUGGGGGACGAUAAUGACGGUACCCCAUUAGAAAGCCACGGCUAACUACGUGCCAGCAGCCGCGGUAAUACGUAGGUGGCGAGCGUUGUCCGGAAUUACUGGGUGUAAAGGGAGCGUA